CACUAAGAAGCUAAAGAGGACAUAGCGUUAGCCUUUUAAGCUAAAGACUGGUGGCCACCAACCACCCCUAGUGA
rnacentral:tRNA from 1 species